rnacentral:rRNA from 1 species
UACGAAGGGGGCUAGCGUUGCUCGGAAUUACUGGGCGUAAAGCGCACGUAGGCGGUCUUUUAAGUCGGGGGUGAAAUCCUGGAGCUCAACUCCAGAACUGCCUUCGAUACUGUAAGGCUUGAGUCCGGGAGAGGUGAGUGGAACUGCGAGUGUAGAGGUGAAAUUCGUAGAUAUUCGCAAGAACACCAGUGGCGAAGGCGGCUCACUGGCCCGGUACUGACGCUGAGGUGCGAAAGCGUGGGGAGCAAACAGG